CGGCAAAAGCUCAAAUUUGAAAUCUGGCUUUGUAUCAAAGUCCGAGUUGUAAUUUGUAGAGGAUGUUUCGGGUACCGCCUCGGUUUAAAUUUCUUGGAACAGAAUGUCAAAGAGGGUGAGAAUCCCGUCUUGGACCGGCGGUAGGGCCCAUGUGAAACUCCUUCGAC
rnacentral:rRNA from 1 species